rnacentral:rRNA from 1 species
CAGUCGCCACGGUAAUACGUAGGUGGCAAGCGUUGUCCGGAAUUAUAGGGCGUAAAGGGCUCGCAGGCGGUUUCUUAAGUCUGAUGUGAAAGCCCCCGGCUCAACCGGGGAGGGUCAUUGGAAACUGGGAAACUUGAGUGCAGAAGAGGAGAGUGGAAUUCCACGUGUAGCGGUGAAAUGCGUAGAGAUGUGGAGGAACACCAGUGGCGAAGGCGACUCUCUGGUCUGUAACUGACGCUGAGGAGCGAAAGCGUGGGGAGCGAACAGGAUUAGAUACCCGCGUAGUCCCUGUCUCUUAUAC